rnacentral:tRNA from 1 species
ACCUGGGUGGCUCAGUGGUUGAGCACCUGCCUUUGGCUCAGGUCCUGAUCCAGGAGUCCUGGGAUCCAGUCCCACAUCAGGUU